GUAAACACCGUGUUGGUGCAAAAUGGUGCCAAUACUCUAUGACCUGUGUGGAUGGUGGUUUUAUGCGAUCAAACAACACAACUCCGAAGACAGACACAACAAAGGUGACACAUAAUCUGUGGAUGUAACCAGAAAAAUGUAAAGCCGUUCCGCCGAAUUCAACAACCGUAGAAACAGAGGAAAGGACACAACAUUAUCGAGACCAAUCUCAUGGGCCCUGACGAACCGGUGAAACGGAUAAGUCUGAUGAAUUUAACCACGGGUCGAACCAAUGAUGGAAGUCUUCAACAGCAGAUGAAACAGGACAUGAAACAGUACAUUUGUUACGAAUGAGAUCAAUCUUAUUUUAGAUUUCUGUUGCCUACUGUAAAACCGAAGAGAUCAGUCGGAGUCAAUUGCGAAUCCGAUAAAGUUGGAUGGAAGGAAGCCAAUGAGUUGGAUGACACCUAGGAUAAUCCCCUCAAACCACAAAUCUUUGAACAAGAUAUGCAUUGAAGUAGAAACAUUUAUUUCCCUGUGAUAUCAUAGAUGUUUUUUCCACUUUGAUUUUGCUACCGUUUCUGGGAGAUGUGAUGUUUAUAAUGAAAGACCAGUUCAAAUAGGAUUUCUGUCAUUGUUUUAUAUGAUCUAGAAUGUCUGCGGAAUUUCAUUCACAGCGCAACACAUGUGACACUUGAUGUGAAAUGGCUGGAGAUAAAAUAUAGGCCUUCCUAGACCUUCAAAGGAAUUUAAAGGGAUACGCAGAGGUAUAUGAAAAUUUGCCUGUUUUACCCAGAUUGAGACGAUUUGUUUAAUCCCAAAUUCAUCGUUGUGCGUCAAGAAGGGGAAUUCCCCGGGUUAGCAUUUGCUUUCGACAGCCGCAUCUAAUGAUUUGCAGAGUUAUAGUAUGCUUGCUCUAUCUUACUGAGUCUUGAAACAAACAUUUGAACAGUGGUGCAGUGGAGAGCACUGUUGGAUAGCACUCUGGAGACCAGGGUUCAAUUCCUGUUUACUGUAUGUUAAUUCACUAAAGGGUAAGUCUAAUAAGUCUGUAAUGAUAUUUCUAUUGAACUGAUUGAUAUAGCCUUCGACCACAAUGUGAUCAUAAUGUGGAGAGAGCAGUUGGCAGACACUCCUGAGACCGGGGUUCAAGUCCAACUAAUGCUCUCUAAUGUUUUUUUCUAUAUCAUGUGAGUUGUAAAGUCAAGUCUAACUGCCAUCAACAAAAUCGUCAAAUCAUCAAAACUCAGACGCAGGUUCGAGUCCCAGCUCACAGGGAUUAAGAAUUUGCUCAUCCUUUCUUGCUGAGCCUAGAUUCUGUUCACCGCUUAGACCCAGGGUUUGAGUCCCCUGAUGGAGUAAGCACCUUAAUGGAUACUUCUUAUUUCUAGACUGUGUGAAUUAUAAAGACAAGUAUAACCUCCAAAACAUCCUAAUCUGUGUCUUGGUGGUGUGGUGGUAAGGGCUGUGGGUUAACACUCUGCAGGUGCAGGUUCGAG
ensembl:lncRNA